GUGGGGAAUAUUGGGCAAUGGGGGCAACCCUGACCCAGCGACGCCGCGUGAGGGAAGACGGCCUUCGGGUUGUAAACCUCUUUUGUACGGGAAGAAGGACGUGACGGUACCGUGCGAAUAAGUCCCGGCUAACUACGUGCCAGCAGCCGCGGUAAUACGUAGGGGACGAGCGUUGUCCGGAAUUACUGGGCGUAAAGGGCGCGCAGGCUGUAGAUCAAGUCAGCUGUGAAAUGUCUGGGCUUAACCAGGGCAUGCGGUUGAAACUGAUGUACUGGAGUGCUGUAGAGGCAAGUGGAAUUCCCAGUGUAGCGGUGAAAUGCGUAGAUAUUGGGAAGAACACCGGUGGCGAAGGCGACUUGCUGGGCAGCAACUGACGCUGAGGCGCGAAAGCCAGGGGAGCAAACGGGAUUAGAUACCCGUGUAGUCC
rnacentral:rRNA from 1 species